rnacentral:lncRNA from 1 species
CCUAUGCCACAGCUGUAGCAACGCUGGACCCUUUAACCCACUGCCCUGGGCUGCGGAUUGAACCUGAACCUCUGUAGUGACCUGAACCGCAUCAGAUUCUUUUUUUCUUUUUUAUGGCCACAGCUGUGGCAUAUGAAGUUCCUGGGGUAGGGGUCAAAAUGGAGCUGCAGCUGCAGGCCUACGCCACAGCCACAGCAACACCAGAUCUGAGCUGCACCUGCGACUUUAUACCACAGAUCAUAGCAAUGCAGGAUCCUUAACCCCCUGAGCAAGGCAGGGAUCAAACCCACUGGUUCUUAGCCCACUGAGCCACAAGGGGAAAUCCUGCAAUCAGAUUCUUAACCCACUGCACCAAAGAGGGAACUCCAGAAGUGGCUUAUUUUAAGCUGAGUUCAGGGUAACUUCUCAAUAUAAAAUGUACUGUGUUAGAAAUAUACAAUGAUAGGGAGUUCCCAUCAUGGUUCAGUGGCAACAAACCCAACUAGGCUCCAUGAGGAGGUGAGUUUGAUUCCAGACCUCAUUCAGUGGGUUAAGGAUCCAGUGUUGCUGUGGUGUAGGUUGCAGAAAGGACUCAGACCUUGUGCUGUUGUGGCUGCAGCAUAGGAUGUCAGCUAUAGCUCUAAUAUGACCCCUAGCCUGGGAACUUCCACAUGCCACGAAUGCAGCCCUAAAAAAGCAAGAAAAUAAAAGUAUAUAAUCCUACAAUAUGUAAAACUGAAGUUAUACCCAUAUAUACUAUAAUAAAAAAAUUCAUGCUACUCCUAAGGACAAUAUUAUUUUAUGAAGGUGUUUUUGCUACUAUAUAAAUCUUAAUUUUUUUCUUAAUGAUAAAGGUUCAUAUUUUCAAUGUAACUUGAUACUAGGUAUGGGUUAAUAUUUUGUUUUUUAUUUUAUUUUUUGCUUUUUAGGGCCGCAGGUGCAGCAUAUGCAAGUUCCCAGGCUAGAAGUCUAUUUGGAGCUACAGCUGCCAACCUCCACCACAGCCACAGCAACUUGGGAUCCAAGCCAUGUCUGUGACCUACACUACAGCUUUGGGCAAUGCCAAAUCCAUAACCCACUGAGUGAGGCCAGGGAUCAAACCCACAUCCUCAUGGAUACUAGUCAGAUUCGUUUCCACUGGGCAACGAGGGAAAUUCCUGUUUAUUCUCUAUGAAAAAAAUUCCCAUUGUGGCUCAGUGGGUUAAGAACCGACCAGUAUCCAUGAGGAUGCAGGUUCAAUCUCCGGUCUUGCUCAGUGGGUUAGGGAUCUACAAGCUGUGGUGUAGGUCACAGAUGAGGCUUGGACCUGGAGUUGCUGUGGCUGUGUUGUAAGCUGGCAGCUGCAGCUCCAAUUUGAACCCUAGGUCCAAGAACUUCCAUAUGCUGCAAAUGCAACUCUAAAAAGAACAACAACAAAAAAAUUUUUAAUGCACUACCCACUAACCCUUAUGUCAUAUUUCUAAGUUAUACAACUUCAGCUUUAAGAGUGUGCUAAAGUAAAGUUCGGAGUUCCCGUCGUGGCGCAGGGGUUAACGAAUCCGACUAAGAACCAAGAGGUUGUGGGUUCGAUACCUGGCCUUGCACAGUGGGUUAAGGAUUCGGCGUUGCCGUGAGUUGUGGUGUAGGUCGCAGACGCAGCUCAGAUGCUGCGUUGCUGUGGCUCUGGCUUAGGCCGGCGGCGGCUACAGCUCCGAUUCGAUCCCUAGCCUGGGAACCUCCACAUGCCGCAGAAGCGGCCCUAGAAAAGGCAAAAAAAAGACAAAAAAAAAAAAAAAAAAAAAAAAGGAUAUUUUAAAUUCUACUUUCCACAUAAAGGUAAUAAACAGCAUAGCUAACUUAAUUUUACGCAUUUCCCUGACUUACUUAGCCAAUAUUAUAAAAUAAACCAAAUUUAGCUAAUGUGCAAACAUUAUAUGAAACUGAUAAAACAACUGUUUUCAUAGAAAUUAUGAGCUUCUGAAGCUUGACUUUUUUCUUUCUUUCUUUUUUUUUUUUUUGCUUUUUAGGGCCACACCGGUGCCAUCUGAAAGUUCCCUGGCUAGGGGUUGAAAUGGAGCUACAGCUACUGGCCUAUGCCACAGCCACAGCAACGCCAGAUUGGAGCCAAGUCUAUGACCUACACCACAGCUCAGGGCAACACCAGAUAUUUAACCCACUGAGCGGGAUGAGCAAUCACACCCACAUCCUCACGGAUCAGAUACUAGUCAGGCUCCUUACCGUUGAGCCACAACAGGAACUUCAGCAGCUUGACAUUUUAAAGUUCAACUGCAAUUGCACAAUCCCAACACUUAAAGUACUAAAAAGUUAAAUUACCACUUAUCGAUUCUUAUAGUAACUUAACGUUUAUCAUGAGAAUUAGUAUCAAAUUAUCAUUCUAGUUGAAACACCAUCUCCUCUCUUUCCCUUAGACUACUCUCAUGACAAUUAAAUACGUGCAUGGCGGAGUCCCCUUGCCAUGCAGCAGGCUAAAUAUCUGGAGCUGUCACUGAAGUUGCCUUGGUUGCUGCAGUGGCUCAGGUUCGCCUGCCUGGGAACUUUCAUAUGCCGUGAGCGCAGCCAAACAAAAAAAGUGCCCGCAAAAAAACAAUGUCAAGUUGCUAUUCUCUAAAAUGGUACUACUCUUGUAUGACAAGUCCAAACUAGACAGAAACUGAUUUUCUCUUUCUCACAAUGCACAGAUGGCAUUAUCCAGCUCUCCUUAUUGGAAAGGAAAAGCCUACUGGCUCAUCUAAUACUGAUGGAGGAACAGUUUUGACUUCUGCAGCCCUUUAUCACCAAAUCUCCUCCAGAAUCCAAGAGCAUACGUAUAACAAGU